UACGGAGGGUGCAAGCGUUAUCCGGAAUUACUGGGUUUAAAGGGUGUGUAGGCGGCUUUGUAAGUCAGGGGUGAAAGCUUUCAGCUUAACUGCGAAACUGCCUUUGAUACUGCAGAGCUAGAAAGAGGUUGAGGUCAGCGGAACGUGGCAUGUAGCGGUGAAAUGCAUAGAUAUGUCACAGAACACCAAUUGCGAAGGCAGCUGGCGGGGCCUACUUUGACGCUGAGGCACGAAAGCGUGGGGAGCGAACAGG
rnacentral:rRNA from 1 species